rnacentral:rRNA from 1 species
CAGUCGAGCGAACACUUAAGUUUGAUUCUUCGGAUGAAGACUUUUGUGACUGAGCGGCGGACGGGUGAGUAACGCGUGGGUAACCUGCCUCAUACAGGGGGAUAACAGUUAGAAAUGACUGCUAAUACCGCAUAAGACCACGGUACCGCAUGGUACAGUGGUAAAAACUCCGGUGGUAUGAGAUGGACCCGCGUCUGAUUAGGUAGUUGGUGGGGUAACGGCCUACCAAGCCGACGAUCAGUAGCCGACCUGAGAGGGUGACCGGCCACAUUGGGACUGAGACACGGCCCAGACUCCUACGGGAGGCAGCAGUGGGGAAUAUUGCACAAUGGAGGAAACUCUGAUGCAGCGACGCCGCGUGAAGGAUGAAGUAUUUCGGUAUGUAAACUUCUAUCAGCAGGGAAGAAAAUGACGGUACCUGACUAAGAAGCCCCGGCUAACUACGUGCCAGCAGCCGCGGUAAUACGUAGGGGGCAAGCGUUAUCCGGAUUUACUGGGUGUAAAGGGAGCGUAGACGGCACGGCAAGCCAGAUGUGAAAGCCCGGGGCUCAACCCCGGGACUGCAUUUGGAACUGCUGAGCUAGAGUGUCGGAGAGGCAAGUGGAAUUCCUAGUGUAGCGGUGAAAUGCGUAGAUAUUAGGAGGAACACCAGUGACGAAGGCGGCUUGCUGGACGAUGACUGACGUUGAGGCUCGAAAGCGUGNGGAGCAAACAGNAUUAGAUACCCUGGUAGUCCACGCCGU